rnacentral:ncRNA from 1 species
CAAAGGUUUGGUCCCAGCCUUAUUAUCAAUUAUUACUUAACUUACACAUGCAAGUAUCCGCACCCCAGUGAAAACACCAACAAACCAACAGGAACAAGGAACCAGCAUCAGGCAAAAGCCUACGACGCCCAGCCACGCCACACCCACACGGGCCCCAGCAGUGAUAAAUAUUGACCAUGAGCCACCCCUCGAACCAGUUAAAGUAAACAGAGCCGGCAAAUCCAGUGCCAGCCGCCGCGGUUACACUACUGACUCAAAUUGAUAACACCGGCGUUAAGAGUGACUAAAGCACUAAAAAUUAGAACUGAACCUGCAACCAAGUUGUGACACACUUGUUCCGAGAACCACCAAACGAAAGUCCCUCUAAUAUACCCGCUUGACGCACGAUAGCUGAGAAACAAACUAGGAUUAGAUACCCUACUAUGCCCAGCCGUAAAACAUUAACUCACACUACCCACCCGCCAGAGAAAUACAAGCCCAGCUUGAAACUCAAAGGACUUGACGGUGUCCCACCCAUCUAGAGGAGCCUGUUCUAUAAUCGAUAACCCCCGAUCUACCCGACCUUUCCUAGCCCACAGCCUGUAUACCUCCGUCGCAAGUUAACCCCAUGAGGACACAGUAGACCAGAUAACCUUAUAUUAACACGUCAGGUCAAGGUGCAGCCAAUGGAAAGGCAAGCAAUUGGCUACAAUCUCCCACCGAGCAAACGGAAAUCUGCAUGAAACUCAGCAUGAAGGCGGAUUUAGCAGUAAAAAGAGACCAGAAAGCUCUUUUUAACAAGGCAAUGGGACGCGUACACACCGCCCGUCACCCUCUUCUUUUCUUUUUUCCCCCCCUAAAUUAAACCAGUUUAACCUACAGAAGAGGCAAGUCGUAACACGGUAAGUGUACCGGAAGGUGCACUUGGCUAACA